GACAGAGGUGCCGAGCGUUAGGCGGAAUCACUGGGCUUAAAGCGUGUGUAGGCGGGCGGGCAAGUACCUUGUGAAAUCCCACGGCUCAACCGUGGAACUGCUGGGUAUACUGCCUGUCUUGAGCCAGCCAGGGCAGUCGGAACAGACGGUGGAGCGGUGAAAUGCGUAGAUAUCGUCUGGAACGCCAAAGGUGAAAACAGACUGCUGGGGCUGUGCUGACGCUGGAGACACGAAAGCCAGGGGAGCGAACAGG
rnacentral:rRNA from 1 species